rnacentral:lncRNA from 10 species
UGAGAGAUGAGGAGCCAGUUUCAUUCUCCUAUAUGUGGCUAGCCAAUUAUCCCAGCACCAUUUGUUGAAAAGAGUGUCUUUUCCCCACUUUGUGUUUUUGUUUGCUUUGUCAAGGAGCCGUUGGCUGGUGGAAAACUCCUAGACCAGCCCCAGGUUUCCUGCCAUGAACUUGGAUCCGGGACCCCAACCUGCAUAUGGUGAUUUUUGCCCUUGUCGCCCUGUAGGAAUUCAACUUCCUAGGGUCCAGCGGCCCAUGGCUUUAGCCUCCAUCCAGGUUGUUUCUGUUCUGUUUCUGGUUCACACUGUUCUAGUGGUCAUUUAAUCAGCAUGAAAUGAUGUGAAGAGGUGAUCUUCUACCAUAUGAUGGCAGAAGGAUAACAUGAUCUGAAGCCAAGAGCCAAAAGCAGAAGCUUUUGAAAUUACUUAGUCUUCUAAGCUUGGAGGUACUUCUAGGCCUCUACCAUCCAGGGAUCCUGCUACCUUCAUUAAAAUCAGGGAGCCAAUUUCAAAUGCAACAUCUACUAACAUCUCUGAAAACAAAACUCCACUAAAGUGCUUUUUCAAAAAUGCUGGUGUUUCCCUCAACAGUGGAUUUCUCAAAACCUUGAAAAGAGAGUGUCUUAUAAAUCCUCAGGGAACAACAUUUGCUGGGGGGAGGGAUGGGUCAUUCCUUCUCUCUCUAAGUCUUUGCAUUUUUUCCUGUGCAUUUUACCAAUAAAUUUCUGUCAUUCCAACCAGCUUCAGCUAGUAGCAGUUUUGAAUCUACGUUUUAGUAAGCCAACUAAUUAUCAUUAAAAGUAUAUCUGAG